rnacentral:lncRNA from 1 species
AAAAAAAAUUUUUUAAAGGAAAGAAUUUGAUUAGAGACAUUGAGACACAGGAAAAUGGAAAAGACAGAAAACAGUGAUGAACAGUGAACACAACAUAGGUAAGUCUUCUUCCAAAGACCAGAAGUUCAAGAUUCUUUCAGCUCACUCACAACUGUCCAGAGAAAGAAGAGGACAUUGUUGUGAGCUGCUAAAAGUUCCUUUAACUUGGGCAGAUGCUGAAGACAGAGCCAAAAGUUCACAAGAAGGUUGGAGGGAUGAGAUCUUCUAGAACUGGGGGCAGAGGUAGCAAUAACAGGUAAUAUAUCCUGUCCCCCUUGAGAACGUCUUCUCCAUCGGGGUCAGAAUCAAUGAGAGCAGAGAAGAGAAAUGCAACUUAAAAGUAUGUACAUGAGUCCCUCUCCCUCUCUCUUUCUCUCUCCCCCUCAGUAUCUGGACUGCGAUGUUACCAGACAGGUAUGGCAUGAGGUGUGGCAUAUGGCCAAUAACUCUGCUCUGAUUCUGCCUUCCAAUUGUUUCUACCCUCAUUGACAUGGAAACCGUGAUGGAGACAUCAAAGGCUGAAUUACACAACCGGUUAUUUAAUUACCUUUGUGAUGAUGCCAGAGAAAUUGAGGGUCAGGGGGUUCACAGAACUGGGACUCUGACCUAAUCUCAGGGGUCAGGUGAGGUUUCCCUGAGAACAUUCAAGAACUCUGAGCUAGAAACAGGAAUGGAACAGGCAGGGUGCCUCGGAUGGAGGGUGAGCCUGUGCAGAGACUGUACUAAAGCAGAUGGCCCUCCCCACUGUGUGCGGGCACCCCGGAUCCCUUAAGGGCCUGACUAGAACAAAAAUGUGGAAGAAGGUUGAAUUCACUCUCUGCCUGACUGCUUGAGCUGAAACAUCAACCUUUUCCUGCCUCAGUGCUCCUGGUUCUCAGGCCUUCACAUCUGGACUGGAACAUCCACUCUUGGCUCUCUGAUCCUCAUUUAGACUGCAUGACCAGCUUUCCCAGGUCUCCAGCUUGCAGAUGGCAGAUUGUGGGACUCAGCUGUCUCCAUAACACGUGAGCUGGUAUCUUAUGAUAAAGCUCUUUCUUAGCUUUUUUAUUAUAAGCUAAUACCUUAUGAUAAAUCUCUAUGUAUCUAGAAAGAUAUAUAUAAAAAUCCAAUUGGUUCUGUUUCUCUGGAGAAUGCUGAUUAAUACAGAUUUCUACCUCAGUCAGAAUACCAUAGGCUGGAUGGCUUAAACAAUAAAAAUUUAUUUCACACAGUUUUGGAGGCUGGU